UCCCCAUGACAUUUCGGCUCUUUCUAUCGUGUAAUACGUGGUAUAGAUUAACCUACGUAAAUUGUAUUAACUCUUUACACGGAGGUCCGUUUCGCAAAUUAGCUUGAUCUUCCAACGUAACGAUUUAGGGAAGAAUGUCGCUUGUAGAAGUCAUUCUUUCAAUAAUUUUUGAACAAUUAAUACACAAGUAAGUGCUAAAUAAUCGCCUGUAUACUUCAUACGAUCCAAAGGAAACGUCCACGCAGUCCAAACGAUAUAAACAAUCUCUUCAUUCUCCCUAGUCUUUUGUUUAUGUUAUCAACAUAAGGAGAAGGUACUUUGUAUCGAUUAAAAAGAGAUAUAAGAGAUGAAGCGGAGGCGAAAGCAGUUCCAAUAGUGCAGAAGUAUUGCAAAGGAGCAGAAUUAACCGAUAUCUGAAUUCUAAUUAAUUCCAAAGAAGAUACACGGAUUUCAACAAUGCUGAACAUGACAAUUAAACAUUCGACAUCCGAAUUAAAACAAAUUUACAUUGGCACUUCCUGUUGUUCCAUACAAACAGACGAUAGGUCCUACGUGGAUAAUACAAAUGUCCAACCAUCGACCAGAUUAGGAAAUAAAAACGUUUUCCUCUUUUCUAGUCUCAUAUUUAAAUGGUAAAUCGAUCAGUGCUGUGUUUAUAGAACGAUUUUAUGAUGGCGACGGGAGUAUUUCUAUUGAUAAGUGGGACAUUAGAUCUCUUAACUCUAGCUAUCCUGAAGCUACUCCAUUAGUGCAUAUAAAUCAAGAAACAUAUAUUUUUCGUAUAUUUUUCAACUAGCCUAAUGAAGAAUAUUAGAUAUGGGAGGCAAGAUACUCAAUGAAGCAGAACAGAUCGUAAAAGCGGCGGUAGAAGCUGAUGCUUCUCACGAAUUUAUUACAAAUCUUCCAAGUGAAAUGAAAUCCAAGUUGGCGAGAGAGGCACCUAAUUAUCUGGUGUAUGGAAACAAGUUGUUGCUAUUGCUAGGGCGUUACUAUAGCAACCAUCGACUUUAAUAUUGGAUUUUAAUAAACGAGUUAUUGUUACAGUUUAUCGGCAGCGACAUGAUGGUUUAUAUUAGGACGAAUUCAAGAAAAGGAAAAGGAAAUAUACAUCCAUAUAUCUCAUGUGUGGAGAACAAAUAUCGAAUUACAUGUCAUCGGUCGCAUAUAUUGUAUCUAACAUAAUCAACGACCUACAAAACUUUCUUAAUGCUUCGUGGGGAUCUAUAAAUCAAUAUCCUGCAUCAAAAAGCAAGAAAUUUCGCUUUUAAACGUCCUUCUUUUCUUUAAAUGAUCCGUAAUAACAUAUUACAUAUCGUGUUCAUUAUGUGAUGAAGAAUACCCAGAAAGAGGAAGAAGAAAACAAAAUUUAUAAUGGCGAUGACGACGGACCUUGGCGAGUCUUAAAUUGCUCCGUUUUACAAAACUACAUUCGAGUGGCGGUACGAGGAGAUGGACUGUAUCUCAUUGAAAGGAUCCAAAGAUAAGCGGCUUUAGGAAGAGGAUAUAAUCGAGUGUGUCGAGAUAGAUUUAUCGAAGGGCUGUUCGAUGUUGCAAACGGAAUCUGUCAUCAAAGUGAAAUUGAAAUGAGCUAGAAAAGAUGAAACGGAGUUGAAAGCAGUUCCAAUAUUCUAGAAGUAUCGAGAAAGAGCAGAAUUAGGAAUUAGGGAUCCAUAUCUGAGUUCUAAUUAUUUGCAAAGAAGAUAAGUAUUUCAAUAGCAAUUAACGUGAUAAUUAUAUAUUCGACGUCCGAAAUGAAACAUAUUUACAUUGGCACUUCCUGUUCUUCUUACAUCAGACGAUACGUUCUACAUGGAUAGCACAAAUCUCCGACCAUCAACCAAAUAAGGAUGUGAAAACGUUUUCCUUUUUAGUCUUAUAUCUUGAGCAGUAAAUCAAUGAAUGCUGUGUUUAUGGAAUGGUAACAUAUUUUAGCGAUUUUAUGAUGGCGACGAGAGUAUUUCUGUUGGAAUUUUACGUUACAUAUCGUUCGUCACUUAAUGUAUCAGAUUGUAUACGCGACGGAAGAAGCCGAUGAUGCUCACGAAUUUGUUACAAAUCUUCCAAGUGAUAUGAUACUUUAAGUUGGUGAGAGAGGCACUUAAUUAUCCGGUGUAUGGAAACAACCUGUUGCUACUGCUUGGGCUUUACUGUAGCACUUAUUUUAACAUUGGAUUUUAAUAAACAAGAAUUGGAUUGUGAAAACAGAAGAGUAGUUCAAGAAACAAAAGAAUGAACAUUGUUAGGGACUGCUCAUAGAUUAAAUGCUCUGAAAUCUUCCGAUGUUGAUGUUCUGCAACGUGAUGUUGCUAUAAAGUGUUUUGUAGUAAUCCAUCGGCGGUGGUGACGCUCUAAAUUGUAGCUCGAAUUUAAAAAAUGAACAGAAAGAAAUGACGACGAAGUUUGGGAAGACCAAUGUGGCGCUGUUUUAUAAAGCUUGGAAGGGUGGUACGAGGAAAUGUUAUUUAUUUUCAUCAAAGGAUUCAAACGGAGCGAUCGAUAAAAUGGAAGCAGCAGCCGCUUUUGCAAUACGCAGUUAUUCGAAAUGGAUUAUAUCAUAUGGCGAUUAGAAAGGGACAAUAAUAAUAUGUCGAAUUGAAAGAUGUUCGUCGAGUCCCAAUCCAUAUCCAUUGAAGCCUUUUCGAUUGGUUCGAUCGCGUAAUAGGAAAUUUUGAUCGACUUGUGUAAAUCGUGUUCAAAUGAAAUACAUAACAGAGAAAAAGAUGAUAUUACGAAAAAAAAGAAUAUGACAAUUGGUCACUAAAUCGAUUUUCUUUACUACGGCGUUAUAAAAAAGAGAGAUGUGUAAAAAAAAAUUGAGCGUUAACUUAAGUAACAGAAGAAGAACAGGAAGUAAUAUUACAAAAAAAAAUGAUCAAACAACGAUUUUUGCUCAAAAUUAAUUCUUAUCGGUACAUAUUUUUAACGACAAGAACGGGAACAAAAUUAUUGAUCAAUUUUUAAAAUUCUUUAGCUACCUUCUAAUUUUAAAUUGUAAAGGACAGAAAGGUAGAGAAAAGAAGGAACGGAAGAGGAACAUAGGAGAAAAAGAAUAAUGAUACAUCUAAUUAAUAAAGAUCAAUAAAGCAUUUCAUUUCCUCACAGCUUAUAACCUUUCGAUACAAUUAGAUUUUCUCGGAUCUUUCGACCGUAUAAUAGUAAAAAUUAAUCAAUCCACAUCAAGCUUGAAAACACUUUGCAGAGAGCGCCCUCGUGGUCGCUCGGUUAACCUCCCAAAACGAUGUGGAGGGGAUGAUGACCGCAAGUCACAGAACGGUGACAUAGCUUCGUAUCAUUCCUUCGGUGAUCUUCGAAACAGUAAUGUGCAAGGGAGUAUCGUACGGUAAAUAAUCUUUAUCCGUAGACAUCAUACAUCUCAAGUGGUAUCUUUACAAGUAGUUCAAGCGGUGGAAACAAUUUCUUCGUUCUCACUAGUCAGUUAUUUAUGUCAUCAAUAUAAGGAAUACGAAACGAAAUAAAGACGGGUGCCGUUCUCGCAGCCCGGAAGUACUGCAAAGAAACCGAAUUGACGGAUAUGUGACAUAUGAAUAUUUCCGAGGAAAAUAUGCCAUUUCAACUACACUGAACGUGUAAAUUAAACAUCCGACAUCCGAAAUAAAACUGUUUUAGUUACUUUGUCACCUCCUGUUCUUCCGAUGAUACAUCUUACAUGAUUUUAUGAAGUCGGCGAGGUUGUUAUAUUGAUAAUUGAAUUCAUUUGAAAUCUUCCACGUUGACGAGAAUCUUCUAAAAUUGGCGGGAGAAUAAUAUACAUAAUUACCUGUUUUAUGCAGAAAACGUGACACCAUAGGUACGCCAUUAUUAUAACAAUCAUCGAUCUUAAUAUUGGAUUUUAAUAAACAAGCACAUUGGAUUGUCAGAAGAGUGGUUCGAAAAGUCGUUGGAAAAUUUAUUCAAAGAAAGUGCACCGUUUCUUGUUACUGAGAGAUGAUAUACUUUUCAAUGUCUCCAUAUCGAUGUAUUGCAACAUAAUUUUACCAUAGAGGACGUAUUACCGGAUGAGGAUCAACGAAAAACAAAUUUAAAUAUGUUGCACUUGGAUCAUCGAAUAUUUAAUUAUCACGCCAAGCGUACGCGAAAACCUGUAUUUUCCCUGGAAGUAUUAUAUUUCAGAUAUGGGUCAAUUCAGCUUCUUUGCUGUCAUUUUCAGGUGUUGGAAUUGCUUCCGCCUUUAAUUCAUGUCGUAUCUCUAAAAUAAUGUAUCUAAAAUUCGUGUAUCCCUCAAUAUUCGUACAAUGGUUAAGACUUAAUUAAGUCAUUCGUUCAUUUCAAUUGUAUAAUUAUCGAAAAUAAAUCAGGGAAUGCCAUUUAAAUGCUACAGGAACUUUUCCGAUACACGACAAAAUAAUAAUUAAAAUAAUAUAAAUCAAGAAAAUCAUUUUCCAUUCCAAAAUAUAGAAAUGAAAUUUUACAAUAAAUCUUAUAGUAAUGAGUACUGCUAAAUUUUAAAAAUAUUGAUGGAAUAAACGAAUGACUAGUGUGAAUGAUGAAAUUGUUUGCGUCGUUUGAAUUAUUUGUAAAGGUAUCAUUUGAGAUGUAUGAUGUCUAUGGAUAGGGAUUAUUUUACGUACGGCUCUCACUUGCAUAUUACUGUUUCCAAAAUCACCGAAGGAAUGAUGACUCCCCAAAUUAAAAGAGUCCUCCCAUUAGAGGACCAUGCUUCCUAGAUUUUAUAUCUCUAGCUAGAACGGUAAAUAAUUUCUUCUAUUAAUUCCAAUUAUUGUAAUUAAUAACAUUAUAUUGAAUUGAUUGCAAUAAAGUGAUUCGUUAAUUCCUAUACGAAA